UUGUUGAGACGCAGCAAUUGCUUCUUGAUAGUUUCUCCUCUAUUUCUCCUUUGUAGACUUGGCGCGGACAAAUGUCCGCGCAUUUUU
rnacentral:ncRNA from 20 species